rnacentral:rRNA from 1 species
UACGUAGGGUGCAAGCGUUGUCCGGAAUUAUUGGGCGUAAAGAGCUCGUAGGCGGUUUGUCGCGUCUGCUGUGAAAACCCGAGGCUCAACCUCCAGCCUGCAGUGGGUACGGGCAAACUAGAGUGCGGUAGGGGAGAUUGGAAUUCCUGGUGUAGCGGUGGAAUGCGCAGAUAUCAGGAGGAACACCGAUGGCGAAGGCAGAUCUCUGGGCCGUAACUGACGCUGAGGAGCGAAAGCAUGGGGAGCGAACAGG